ensembl:lncRNA
CCAGGACACCUACAGCACCCGGUGUCACAGGAAAGCCAAAAAGAUCAUCAAGGACCAACCACCCGAGCCACGGCCUGUUCACCCUGUUAUCAUCCCGAAGGCAAGGACCUGAGCCCUAGGACCAUGCCUCAGGACUACCUGGCAUGAGUACUCCUUGCUGUCCCCAGUCCACCUGGCCAUGCUGCUGCUCCAGUUUCAACUGUUAUGCCUGCGGUUAUGGAAUCCUGACCUGUUCACCGGACGUGCUACCUGUCCCAGACCUGCUGUAUUCAACUCUCUAGAGACAGCAGGAGCGGUAGAGAUACUCUUAAUGAUCGGCUAUGAAAAGCCAACUGACAACUACUGUGAUUAUUAUUAUUUGACCAUGCUGGUCAUUUAUGAACAUUUGAACAUCUUGGCCAUGUUCUGUUAUAAUCUCCACCCGGCACAGCCAGAAUAGGACUGGCCACCCCUCAUAGCCUGGUUCCUCUCUAGGUUUCUUCCUAGGUUUUGGCCUUUCUUUUUCCUAGCCACCGUGCUUCUACACCUGCAUUGCUUGCUGUUUGGGGUUUUAGGCUGGGUUUCUGUACAGCACUUUGAGAUAUCAGCUGAUGUACGAAGGGCUAUAUAAAUACAUUUGAUUUGAUUUGUGUUCACUUGGUACAGAAAUAAAAACAGCAUUUAUUCUAAAUUACGGUAAUAUAUAAAUUGCGUGUGUUGAUGUGUGUGUAGAGAACCAGUCCCUCUCCUCUUGUUGUUGUAAACCCUAAUGGUCUGUUCAGAUGGCUGUGCUCCAGUCAGUCUGUCCCUGUAUGUGUCUCAGAGGCCUAGUCUAUUGUUAUUUCCCUCAGCUCUCAAUGUUUAGGAUUGGAGCGAUCUGCUCUGCCCAGAGAGGGACAAGGAGAAUACUGGUGGAGAGAAUACACCAUGGCUAGAACACACUAUCAGUACAGGACCAGUCAAAACAUCCCAUAAUCAUAAAACCUAAACCCUGUGUCCAUAACGACCAGUUCCCUCUGCUGUGCUGUCAUUGGCUGGAUUACAAUUAGGAUUAGGAUGGAUCGGUUUAGCUGCUAGGCUGAUUGAAAUACAGUAAAAAAUAAUAAUAAUAAUAAGGCUUUUUCAUUGAUGUGCUGUCUUUUGUAAACAGUGGUUUAUACAGUGUCAGGUACGGAUAAUCCUACCAAUUCAGGAGGAUUACAGAGAAUCAAUAGUGACCCAGUCUUUACAUGAGCAGACAAAAUCAUCAGGGAUCUACCUUUCAAAGCAGAAUUCUUUAACUACACCUUUUGUUUAGACAUACUAAGGCCUUUAAAAUGCAACGUUAAUAGGAAAGGCUGUACAGUGGAGUC